rnacentral:rRNA from 1 species
GAUGAACGCUGGCGGCGUGCUUAACACAUGCAAGUCGAACGGAAAGGCUCCUGCUUGCAGGGGUACUCGAGUGGCGAACGGGUGAGUAACACGUGGGUGAUCUGCCCUGCACUUCGGGAUAAGCCUGGGAAACUGGGUCUAAUACCGGAUAGGACGAUGGUUUGGAUGCCAUUGUGGAAAGUUUUUUCGGUGUGGGAUGAGCUCGCGGCCUAUCAGCUUGUUGGUGGGGUAAUGGCCUACCAAGGCGUCGACGGGUAGCCGGCCUGAGAGGGUGUACGGCCACAUUGGGACUGAGAUACGGCCCAGACUCCUACGGGAGGCAGCAGUGGGGAAUAUUGCACAAUGGGCGCAAGCCUGAUGCAGCGACGCCGCGUGGGGGAUGACGGCCUUCGGGUUGUAAACUCCUUUCGCUAGGGACGGAGCGCAAGCGACGGUACCUGGAGAAGAAGCACCGGCUAACUACGUG